rnacentral:lncRNA from 1 species
GUUUGCUGUCACUCCCUGCUUUGCUCAGCAGCUGAGACACCACACACAGCUGAGGAGAGGGAGCCAGAAGUGUGGUAAAUAAGGAUGCUGAGACUGUCCUCUAGUCUUCCAGCUUCCCUUGACUUCUGUUGCUCAGCCUUUCCUGCUGUUGGUAAGUUGUCUUUAAAUCAAAGCUUUAAUAGGAAAAGGGCCCAGACGCAUUCUGUGACUCUGGAGGAGAUUCAAUAGGGAUUGUGUUUUGAACAGCUAGAGCUAUUUUUUGUCAUCUGCAUACUAUCCCUUGCUUUUUCCUGUAGGACUAAUUGCAGUCAUUAACAGUCGUCAAGAGGUUUACCAUACCCAUUGAGUCAAUCACCCAUCUCCUACUAACUUCAUGAGAAACGUCUACCCUAUAUAUCUUAUUUCUUCUUUGGUAAUCACUCAUAGCCGAGUAAGAUUGUCUUCCAUAAACAUUGUUUUAACAAUGAGUCCCUAAGUGACUGUGGAGGCCAAUUCUGGAUCCACGCAUCCAUCCACAGUGGGGACAUUGGUUUCUGGGCAGGAUUUGAUCACGGUGUGGAUUUGCCAAGGGUUCCUUCCUCAAAGCACGU